UUAACACCAACCAGGCGAGAACUAUAGUGUUCUCGCGUGGCUCUGACGUCAUGUGACAGCUGCACAUCAGCGUCCUAAAUUGACAGCACAGUUUAUAUGGCUGCAAAUCGCAGCUUAGGCAGGAAACGCUGCGGGACUCUGACGUGCAGCCGGGUGAUUACUCAACCAAACCUUGCAAGAAUCACGGUUAGUCAAGAGGGAACUGGUGAGUGUUUGGUAGGGAGCUAGUAUGCUAGCACUAGUCUUCCAGCCUGUUGUGAUUGUAUAUUGAUUUGUUGCGUAACAAUAUUGGUUGCAUAAGUUAUAUUUACUUAUGAAACUUCUGUACAUGUAACUGAUUAAUUAGGUUUGUUUAUACAGGCCAGGUGCGUUGCAGAUCCCUCGCGCAAGGAGUGGCUGGAGGGAUCUUGACAAUAGCAAGGAUUGUCUGGUUUCACUGACCAGACUGGCGAGCUAAAAUAAGCAGGAUCCAGAAACACAAGACUUAUCUGGGAACAUUCUUCCGAACUAAUUGGAGGAUCAGCUCAAGUCCCCAUUGAAGGAAGUGGAUUAUUUUGGGUUUUUUCAUCAUCAACAAAGACUGGUGGACGUCCUUGGUAUAAGGAACUUUAACUUGUUUUUUCCUUUAAACUAUGGACUAAUGUGUAUAUAUAUUGUAAAUACUAAAUACAACUCACCAAUUUGCACCAUC